AGUACAGGUCUAAAUGUGCAGCUUUGCCACAGUGGGGUAGUUUUAAUGUUUUAGUUAAGAAUCCGGAUUACUGGGAGCAAGGUCCAGACGUGAUGGUUUUCAUCUCCAUCUCCCCCCAGAGUCCAGUUUGAGCUUGUUAAGGAAGAAGUGCGAUGAAGACCACUCGUUUAACCUACCCCCUGACAAAACCGCAAUGGUUUGAACAAGGAAUCAAAAAGAGAGGGAACCUACAAUGGAAGCAGAUGAGUAGAUGAGCAGCCUGGGACAGUGCAGGAGAGCCUGUCUUUUCC